AUGAAUGCUCUUUUUUGGAAUGUUAGAGGCAUCUCAGCUGCAGGGAGAAAACCUCUUAUCAUAGAUAACAUUGCUAAGACCCAUGCCACUAUAUUAGGAUUUCAGGAAACCAAGAAAGAGGAGUUCUCUCCCUCAUACUUAAAAUCAUUAGUUGGAAAUAGAGAUUUUGCUUGGCACCACCUCCCAUCUAUAGGGACUGCUGGAGGCAUCCUGAUGGGGGUGGACCAGGAUAGUUUUGAAGUUAUUUCUUUGUCUCACUUAGAAUUCUCUGUUAGUUGUGAGUUGAGACAGAAAAACAAUGGUAACAUAUUUAGAGUCAUUACUGUCUAUGGCUCCCCCUAUGAAGAGGGAAAAGGGGCUUUUAUAUCUGAACUUCAUUCCUUGUUUGUAGACAUUGUUACACCUACUCUUAUAGGAGGGGAUUUUAAUUUGGUUAGAAAUGCCAAAGAAAAGAGCAAUGGGGUUAUCAACAAUAGAUGGAGUGAUAACUUUAAUGCUUGGAUUGAGAUCUGGGGUCUCUUAGAAAUUAAGAUUUCUAGUAGAAAGUUCACUUGGGCUAACAACCAAGUUGAUAUCCUCAUGUCCACUAUUGGCAAACUUUUCUGUAAUACUGACAUGGACAACAUAUUCCCUCUAGCAUCUUGUAAAGCUCUCCCUAGAUGUGGGAGUGACCACACCCCACUCCUAUGGGACUCUGGAUGGAUGUCCAACCUACAAAAGGUAGUUUUAAAAUGGAAAAUGGUGGCUCCUUAG
rnacentral:rRNA from 1 species